rnacentral:rRNA from 1 species
CAGCAGCCGCGGUAAUACGAAGGGUGCAAGCGUUACUCGGAAUUACUGGGCGUAAAGCGUGCGUAGGCGGUUUGUUAAGUCUGUUGUGAAAUCCCCGGGCUCAACCUGGGAAUGGCAAUGGAUACUGGCAAGCUAGAGUGUGUCAGAGGAUGGUGGAAUUCCCGGUGUAGCGGUGAAAUGCGUAGAGAUCGGGAGGAACAUCAGUGGCGAAGGCGGCCAUCUGGGACAACACUGACGCUGAGGCACGAAAGCGUGGGGAGCAAACAGGAUUAGAUACCCGAGUAGUCCCUGUCUCUUAUAC